ensembl:misc_RNA Metazoa_SRP Metazoan signal recognition particle RNA
GCCCGCACGGUGGUGAGUGCCUAUAGUCCUAGCUACUCGGGAGGCUGAGGUGGGAGGAUCGCUUGAGCCCAGGAGUUCUGGGCUGUAGUACACUAGGCUGAUUGGGUGUCCGUACUAAGUUCGGCAUCGAUAUGGUGAGCUCCCCGGAGCGGGGGACCACCAGGUGGCCUAAGGAGGAGGGGUGAACCGGCCCAGGUCGGAAACGGAGCAUGUCAAAACUGCCGUGCUGAUCAGUAGUGGGAUCGCGCCUGUGAAUAGCCACUGCACUCCAGCCUGGGCAACGUAGCCAGACCCUGUCUCU